GGAAACAUUGUGCAUAUUUAUCUUGCUCCCGUAUGCGAAAUUGGUGAUACAUUUCCUGUAUGUCGCCUACUACGGCAACGUAUCUCUGGCGAAAACGACCCAUCACAGUAGGCAAUGGUGUCAGCAAAUCGGGACCUUUGAGUAGCAUACUAUUCAAACUGACACCAUCCACAGAAGCACUGGCAUCCCAAAUCAGACGCACUUUAGACGGUUUUUUUGGAUUCACAACCACUCCCAAGGGUAGAAACCAAGUUCGCAUAUGGUCAAAUUUCUUCAGUUCUGCUGCGGAAGCUUUGUGCGCACAUUGCAGUCUUCGAAAUGCCAUCUCAUAACUUCUAGGAAAUUUGAACACGUCGUGGCGCCACAGAAGUCCCGUCUCAUAUCGGUUUGAAAGUCGUUUCGUAGUAGAUUCCAAAAUUAUUUUUGCUCGCUUUUCAUCUUCCGAUUCCAACGGAAAAGCUCCAACACCGAGUGUGUCUACCGAAAAAUGCAAUUUGACUAGCUCGUGUACUCCACCGCCAAAUAUCGACCAUCCAAGGCGGGAUUUAACGGCAACUGGCUCACCAAUUUUUCCUUCUCUAGUUCUGGAAGAAACCAGGAGAUGGGCAUUGUUCGACCCAAUUAAGACUCGCGGAAUGGCGUUUGUGUAAUCUGUCAUUGGUAUUCCAUUCAAAUGAGUAAAUUGUUUUCCCAAU